rnacentral:piRNA from 1 species
UAAUGCCUUUGGGAUGGAAUUUAAGACUUGU